UACGUAGGGGGCAAGCGUUGUUCGGAAUUACUGGGCGUAAAGGGCGCGUAGGCGGCACGACAAGUCGGGAGUGAAAGCCCGGGGCUCAACCCCGGAAUGUCUCUCGAAACUGUCGAGCUAGAGUGCAGAAGAGGCAACUGGAAUUCCCAGUGUAGCGGUGAAAUGCGUAGAUAUUGGGAAGAACACCUGAGGCGAAGGCGGGUUGCUGGGCUGACACUGACGCUGAGGCGCGAGAGCGUGGGGAGCAAACAGG
rnacentral:rRNA from 1 species